GAUGAACGCUAGCUACAGGCUUAACACAUGCAAGUCGAGGGACCGGCGCACGGGGGAGUUACACGUAUCCAACCUCCCUUUUACUCGGGGAUAGCCUUUCGAAAGAAAGAUUAAUACCCGAUAUAAAGGAUGGGGAUGCGUUACAUUAGUUUGUGGGUAAGGUAACGGCCAACCAAGCCUUCGAUGGAUGGGGUGUCUGAGAGGAAGGUCCCCCGGAAUGGAACUGAGGCACGGACCAAACUCCGACGGAGGACAGGAGUGAGGAAUAUAGGGGAAUGAACGUUAACCUGAACCAGCCAAGUGGCGUGAAGAAGGAAUGGUUUGGGAUCGUAAACUUCUUUUAAAGAAGAAUCGGUAUUAGAUGAAUAAGGAUCGGCUAACUCCGUGCCAGCAGCCGCGGUAAUUC
rnacentral:rRNA from 1 species